rnacentral:rRNA from 1 species
UUGACCUCAAAUCAGGUAGGACUACCCGCUGAACUUAAGCAUAUCAAUAAGCGGAGGAAAAGAAACUAACAAGGAUUCCCCUAGUAACUGCGAGUGAAGCGGGAAGAGCUCAAAUUUGAAAUCUGGCGGUCUCCGGCCGUCCGAGUUGUAAUCUAGAGAAGUGUUACCCGCGCCGGACCGUGCAUAAGUCUCCUGGAACGGAGCGUCGCAGAGGGUGAGAAUCCCGUCUUUGGCACGGACUCCCGGGGCUUUGUGGUGCGCUCUCGAAGAGUCGAGUUGUUUGGGAAUGCAGCUCAAAAUGGGUGGUAAAUUCCAUCUAAAGCUAAAUAUUGGCGAGAGACCGAUAGCGAACAAGUACCGUGAGGGAAAGAUGAAAAGCACUUUGGAAAGAGAGUUAAACAGUACGUGAAAUUGUUGAAAGGGAAACGCUUGAAGUCAGUCGCGUCGGCCGGGGAUCAACCUUGCAAUCCUGCGGGGCGUACUUCCCGGUCGACGGGUCAGCAUCAGUUUCGACCGCCGGAGAAGGGUCAGGGGAAUGUGGCACCCUCGGGUGUGUUAUAGCCCCUGGUCGCAUGCGACGGUCGGGACUGAGGAACUCAGCGCGCCGCAAGGCCGGGUCCUCGGACCACGUUCGCGCUUAGGAUGCUGGCGUAAUGGCUUUAAUCGACCC